GACGAACGCUGGCGGCGUGCUUAACACAUGCAAGUCGAACGUGAUUUUCAUAGAAGUUCCUUCGGGAGUGGAAAUGAAAUGAAAGUGGCGAACGGGUGAGUAACACGUGAGCAACCUACCUUACACAGGGGGAUAGCCGUUGGAAACGACGAUUAAUACCGCAUGAGACCACAGAAUCGCAUGAUAUAGGGGUCAAAGAUUUAUCGGUGUAAGAAGGGCUCGCGUCUGAUUAGCUAGUUGGAAGGGUAAAGGCCUACCAAGGCGACGAUCAGUAGCCGGUCUGAGAGGAUGAACGGCCACAUUGGAACUGAGACACGGUCCAAACUCCUACGGGAGGCAGCAGUGGGGAAUAUUGCACAAUGGGGGGAACCCUGAUGCAGCGACGCCGCGUGAGCGAAGAAGGUUUUCGAAUCGUAAAGCUCUGUCCUAUGAGAAGAUAAUGACGGAUCAUAGGAG
rnacentral:rRNA from 1 species